UUUUUUUUUUUUUAGAUGGAGUCUCACUCUGUUGCCAGGUUGAAGUGCAGUGGCGCGCUCUCAGCUCACUGCAACCUCCGCCUCCCAGGUUCAAGCGAUUCUCUUGCCUCAGCCUCCAGAGUAGCUGGGACAACAGGCAUGCACCACCACACCCAGCUAAUUUUUGUAUUUUUAGUAGAGAUGGGGUUUCACCAUGUUGGCCAGUCUGGUCUCCCUCUCUUGACCUCGUGAUCCGCCCAUCUCAGCCUCACAAAGUGCUGGGAUUGCAGGCGUGAGCCACCGCGCCCGGCCCAGAAUUGGGAUUUGAACUCAGGACUGUUUGAAGCCAAAGCCUGGGUGAGUAAGUAUGAAGCUUGAAGGUUGAGGGUGAGGCCUGUUUAUUGCAUUCUCCAAUCACCUGUGCGUGCUGCAGGUGUUGCAAGGAAAACUGGUAGGCAGGUGUUUGUCUACACCUAGGCAAAUCACACCCACCAGGCAAGACAGUCAGUGAGUCCCCAGCUAGGUCCCGACUUGCCAUGUGAAGGGAGGCUGGGAGGAGGUAGAGGAGUGAGGUUUGGAAGAACCUGCACCCAGCCAUCAGAUGCAGUGGAGCAGAAAGGUCAUAGGCUUCAGAGUCGGACAGGCCUGACUGAGGACCUCGUCUCCAGGUGAACCUUGGGCAAGCCCUGAGCCUGUGUAACCACAGUUCUCUCAUGGAGUUGUUGGUACACAUAGGGAGUUGGUACAGAUGGGUAUAUCAUUGGUGGCACCUGGCAGGGGCUUGGUAAGCAGCACCUGCCCUGAAGAAUAUAUCCACAUCUCCCCAUCUCUGCCAGGAGGAAAUGCUUCGGCCAGGCCUUACCCCCACUGCUGUGCAACACUGCACUUCUCAAGGACCUCCAUGCUGCUAAAUCCAACAGGCAGUUUCCAGCCCUCAUCUUCCUUGGCCACUAUGCAGCUGCAUCUGCCACCGUUGAUUUCUGACUGCUCCUUGAAACACUGUCUUUGCCUGGCUUUGAAGACAGCACAUUCUCUUCGUUUUCCUUCUACCUUGCUGACUGUCACUUCUUAGUCAUCUGUGCUGAUCCUGCCUGAACUUCCCAACCUCUCAGCACUGGAGUGCCCUAGGGCUGAGUGGAGGACCUCAUUUCUUUUCUGUCGACACACACUCCCUUGGUGACCUCAUCCAGACUAACAGAUUUAAAUACCAUCACUGCUGACGACAACCAAAUUUGUGUCUCUAGCCCAGGCCUCUCCCUUGAGGUCUAGUUUCACUCCUGCAACUCCCUGCUUGAUACCCCUGGGUGUCUCACAGAUGCCAAUUUAACACAUCCCAAACGGAGCUCCUGCUCUUCCCCCAAAAGCCUACUUCUCCCCAUUUCCCCCAUCUCAAUUAAUGGCAACUACAUCACACCCCGUGUGUCAUCUCUCAGGAAAUCCUUCUGCCUUUAUCUUCAAAACAGAUCUCAAAUCUAAUCACUUCUCACUGUCUCCACUUCUAUCACUUGGGUCAGAGCUACUACCAGCUCUGAUAAAAGAUUCCCUGCUCCAGUCUUUGUUUCCCCUGGGUCUUUUCUCAACACAGUAGCCAGAGUGAUUCUGUUUAAAAAUAAGUCAGAUUAGCUGGGCGCGGUGGCUCAUGCCUGUAAUCCCCGCACUUUGGGAGGCUUGAGCCAUCGCGCCCAGCAGAUCCUGACCUCUUUGACCUUCUCUCCUCUUCUCCCCCUGCUCAAGUUUUCAGUCACUGUCCCUUAAGGGUGUUGGGGAGGUUUCCGCCUCAGGGCUUUGCACUGAGGAAACAGUAUUUCCUCAGUGGCUGUUUCUCUGCCUUGAAUUAUCUGCCCCCAGAUUCUGCGUGCCUCAUUCCCUCCCCUCCUUCAGGUCUUUACUUUGAUGUCACUUUUGAAUGGAGUAUUCCCUUAGCCCCUAUUUAAAACUACAAACUGGGCUGGGUGCGGUGGCUCAUGUCUGUAAUCCCAGCACCUCAGGAGGCCAAGACAGGUGGAUCACCUGAGGUCAGGAGUUCGAAACCAGCCUGGUAAACAUGGCAAAACCCUAUCUCUACUAAAAAAUACAAAAAUUAGCUGGAUGUGGUAGCAUGU
ensembl:lncRNA